rnacentral:ncRNA from 2 species
AGCCUUGCGCGCCCUAGAUGGCCGAGGCCUUCGGGAUGAGGAAGCCGGUUUGAGUCCGGCGCGGUCGCGCCACUGUAAUCGACGCCAUGCCCCGGCGUCGAGAGCCAGACCUUCAUCCCAGAAGCUGAAGAA